UCAAAGUGCUGGCCCAACUCUCAAAAACCAAUGUUUACACCAUCUUUAGACAUUUCACCAAAACAUGUUGACCAAUCUAUCAAAAUUUGCUGAAUAUUUUUCUUCGCUGAAACUGUCUUAAAACUGAUGUUGUGCUUUCUCUGUUAAGGUUCCCUGGGCUAAUACUGCGCAAAUCGUUCAGUACCUGAAGAGUUUUUAAAGGAAGUGGACACUAAUGGUUCCCUGGGCUAAUACUGCGCAAAUCGUUCAGUACCUGAAGAGUUUUUAAAGGAAGUGGACACUAAUGUGGAAAUACAUAAUGGCACUGUCUUUCAGGAGUUGGCUGCUGCCUACACAGAUGAUGAAAGCCUAACAACUUGGAACAUGUCUAGAAAUUCACUGCAGGCUAUCCAUGUAAAGGUUGUGAUAUCUAGGAACUCAAUGCUUCACUACGAACACUGUAGGUCAACAACUAUUGUCUUCAAAGGGUUAUCCUUGUGACAGAACAGUUACUGCUCCACUCCAACCAUGGCAAGUCACCCAUUUGUAUACUCACUGCUUCACUUCAACUAUUAUCUUCAAUGGGCUGGUUGUUCUUUGACAGAGUUUGCUGCUGCCUGCACAGAUGAUGAAAGUCUAACAACUUGGAACAUGUCUAAAAACUCACUGCAGGCUAUCCAUGUGACUGUAAAGGUUGUGCUAUCUAGAAACUCAACGCUUCACUUUAACCACUGUAGUUCAUCCAUGUGACAGGGACCAUUAUCUUCAAUUGGCAAGUCUUAAAGUUUUUAUCCAAUGUCUACUAAAUUUGAACUUUACUUCGCCUCAUCAAACGAAACUUGUCCUGUUUACUGGGGUUAGAUAUCUCUAGUUUUUUUA